GGCCGCUGCAAAGGGGUUGAAUUUAAGACUUAUUUUGAAAAUUAAGAUAAUUUAUAAUCCAUUUCAGUGGGAAACAGCCAGUGCAAGGGAAUUUUUACGAAUGUUGGACACCCAAAAAGUCAAAAAUACCAAUCCAAAAUGCCAAAUCCAAUCGGAGAUCGACAGUAAAAAUAAGAAUCCCAGAGUUGAAAUCCUGUUUGGUGAUAAAGAGAACAUGGUGUUGGACACAGAAAAUAUGAAAGUUGUGGAUAUUUUAUCAAAGUUCAACGAGAAAUGUAGAGGGAAGGAAAAUAAAAGCUAAAAGGUUGCGAAACAUUUCAAAACUAUUCAACAGAUCCAACUUUCAGCAAUGAUUGGAAUAUUAAAACAU